UUUCAGGGUGGCCUACUUUUGGGGUCUUACUAUGUAAUCUCACAGCUGUGGUGGUUUUGGCUCUAGGCAUUUUGUGCUCCAGAGCCUUCCACCGGGUUUGUAGAUAUAUAGUCUCUCACCAGGAAGGUUCCCACCAAGAACCCUUUGUUGAGUGUAUCUUUUCUCCCUCCAAAGUAGAUUUUGCAGAAAUGGUGGACAAGGAGAAAACCAAUUUCAAAUCCAUUUGUCAGUCUUAGCAUGAGAGGUAGCUGCUCUCCUCAUCCAUGCCCAGUGGAGGGGGCAGGGCAAUGACGUCAGUGCCUGAGCUUCCUGAGAAGAGAAAGUUGGGGGAGGGGGCCUUCUUAGGUUGAUUCGGCAGUUAACGGAAAUGAGUGAAGAAUUUCCUUCACCUGCUGCCAUAAUGUUCUACCCAAGUGCAUGGGCCAAGCAGACGUGGACUACACCCUGUGAAACCUGGACCCAAAAUAAAUGUUUCUGUAAGCAACAGAUUCAUCAUUCACUGCUGAAGAUAGGACACCUAUUCUGAACGGGCUAGAAUUUGUGUCAGUUCUCCUUGGAAGUGAAGUUCUAUGACUGGCCAUUUGGAGCUCUCAAUAGAAGGGUGUCAAGGCAGGGCCUGGCUUGGACUGCAAUGAGCUUCAUUACCAUCUAGAGGAGAGAUGCUGAAUUUUGACGACCAUCACGUGUUAGAUUUCACCUUACAAAGACAAAGGCCCCUUCUUCCUUCCUACAGUCAGUAAAGAACACUAGCCUCACACUGAGCUUCAAAAGGAUUGUACACGAUGGUGAUGCAAUGUUCCUCCCCUGGCUGAAGGUACCUCCCUGUGACCCUGUCUGCGCUGGGCUUUGCUUCUGUCAAUUGAUAACAACAUGGACAAGCUGGAUCACCUACGUGCCUAGCAAUUGGUAGACCGUUCAAUUUAAUACAUGCACUAACCCAUCCAUACUAUGAUGCUCCCCACUUCUUUGUAGAAAAUAAAAAAGAUACAGAAAGGGUCAAUCACGGAGGCCACCGCAGGAAGAGGACACAUUCAAGUUCAGCCUGAACUGCAUAACAAGUGGUGGGCCUAAAACUGUGAUGUCAUCCAGUGGCAGAAUGCUUGCUUAUCUUGAAAAGUGGGGCCCCAAAACUGGUCUCCAGCAUCACAACAAAUGGCCAAUCAUUUGGUCCAACGUACCAGGGACACCAGCAACAUGCCACAGCCGGGCAGACUUAGAGUGGGAAAACCACACUCCCCUUUUCUGUAAAUUGCAGAAUAUCGCAAAGAUUGCAUAAAGCAGGCUCUGUUAAGCCAGGGGUACGAGGUUCAGUGUCCAAGGUGUGAGACUUCUCCAGGUGUGUCUGACAGAUGUUCGGAGGGGUUUAGAGAAGUUGUUAGCUGGCCUGACUACAGUUCUGACCUCGGUGUUACGUACACAGGAGGGUGGGUCAGCUCUCUGUAAUUAACCAGCAAUAUUGUACAUGUCUAAAACCCCAAAACCUCGGUUUGUGAUUCAUCUUUUCAUCAGCAGAACAAAGAGAAGCCUUGUUGGAUCAUGUUGUGAACUUACUACAUCUUGAAGCCAUUUCAGAAUUUACCAAGCAAUUAGAACACGUUUUUAAAGGUUGAUCAAACUCACAAAUAAAGUGUCUUUCUUUAUACGGGA